CACGGGUAUAGAUAUUCCACCCUCCUUUUAGCAUUGAUCACGUUGCACAUGUUUAAUUUACAAUGCACUUUUUCUAGCCUAAAUAGCCUAGCCUUUCAAGCCGCCGUAGAACACUCGGAUUCAGUUUAUGACUCUUGAGUCUUGACGGAGACCAUGGCUUCUUCGCCAUGCUACAGGGAGAGGCUGCAGGUCUGGUGCUUCAUUGCGGAUCCAUCGAGCCCGUGAGAGAAAUUUCUAGGAUCUCUUUUUGAAACUGCCAUUGGUACGUCAGCUCCUCCUCGACGUCAUUCACUAUGGAAAUUAACCGGACCAAGAGGAAAAGGUAGAUUAUCCUGUUAUAUAUGGCUCCUCGUCGUCCGCUCGACUCAUCCUUGUUGUAUUGUUUAGUGUUGCGUUGGUGCAAGUAGUCUAAGAGGAUGUAUGGAAUAAAUUUCUACCGUAGUUCCCCGACCACCACAACACCCUUCACCUCUCUUUGAAUCUGCCAUUAGUACAUUGGCUCCUUCUCUGCAUCAAUCAUAGUAGAAACUGAUCAGAUCAAAAAGGCUAAAUUGCAGCAUCAUCAAAAACUGCAAGCUCGGGAGAUUGGAAGGUUGCACAAUAACACGAUCAUCAAUGCCAUCUUUUUAGGUCCAUCUGGAUGACAUGGAGAGGGGAUGCAUACUCAUCAAUAUACUAUAUUCGUAGCUUAUCGCAGAGUUUGGCCUCUCGUGAUCACAAAGAAACAGAACCUAUGGUCAAUUAGUUAGUUUUUUCCUCGUCCUCUUGUCAAAGACAUAAUCAAGCGAUCUAACAGGUGAUCAAAUGGUAGGUAGCUCACGCAGGAAAGCAUAACUUAGUGGGCUUAUCAACCCCGGCCGCCCGGACCGGACACCUGCUUCUUCUUCGUAGGUGUGGGGCGGUGCCAUGUUCUUGCUUAGCGACUGGUCUUUUUUUAUGACACCCGGAAAGAAUGCGAAUGUCCAAAAAAAAAACUUUGAAAUCUUGAAGCACAUACAAACUAAAACAUCUUCUAAACUGUUAUUCUUAUUUUCCCAACAAAACAUGCAACCAACACAUUUUAACAAUACACAUGUAUGUAGCCAAUGCGUACCACAUUCUUCCCAUCUCUUACACUUGGUGAACACAUCGUUUUACUUCUCACAUAGUCUCUACCUCAAAUAUUUUAUCACUACUAAUAAGUGCAACCUCGUGGAAUUCAACAUUGGUACUCCCUCCAUUCCCUUAUACAAGACCACAAACUCAUAUUACAUGUAUCAAGACAAAAUUUAAUGACCGCUUGGAAAGUCAAAUUUUCUUUUCGUUAACCGGAAUCAUUAAUACGCUGCAUGCAUGCAACGAAUGAGGGAGAAGAAAGUGGCUAAGUGUUAUUAUGAAUACAUGCAUGCAAUUAUUAAACAAGUUGCUAGUAUGAGAAAACAUCUGUUGGUGGUCUUAUAUAGAUGCAAAAUGUAUUUUUUAUAGUGGCCUUGUAUAAGAGAAUGGAGGGAGUACAACAACUCCUCCAGCAAAAUCAAUCUUGCAUCCCUGAUGGAACAUGAAAAAUCAUUUUGUGACGAUUUCAUCAAGAAACAAAUAAAAAAUACCAAACCUGGGAACAUGGCACCAUGAGGUCAACUCCUACAGAGAUGCAAGAUAUUUGUUUAACUUUUAGACAAAAAUAACAGUAAGACCGAUAAAAAAAUUAGGUUUUCGUUGCUGUAGACAAACCAGUUGAGUAAUAAUCUCAAAACUAAUUUGAUAUCUCACAGAUAUUGGAGGGAAUAGAAGGAGGCAGGCAGUAUGUCUACCUUUGAAAGAAAGAUAGGAAAACAGCGAUGUCCGAGAGCACUGGUGCGGCUCCUCCAUGGGAAUAGGAAGCAAGUCGGUGCUCCAUGCUUGGUCGCACCUCAUGAAUCACCUUUGACGGAAUUGAUUUUAGCAUAUUAGGAAAUAACACGAAUUAAAUCUUGCCUUGCUAUGUAGAUUGUGCCGCCCGAAACAACAUUGAUGCAAUUAACGAAGUAUAUUAGGCAGAAGAAAAAAUCUAGCCACUUCUUUGUCAAGGGACCAUCAGCCCUGAAAGAAACGUGGAUGGAUCUAUAAUUUGUAUUGGAAAAUGCAUGAGCGUAAAAAUCAUGGUCACAACAAUUUGGGAGAUCAGGGGAUAUGAAGGGGUGAAGCCACCGAACAAAUUAGCGAUCAGGGUAGGCAAAUUUUCUUACUUCUGCGUCCAGCAAGGUGGAAGAUGGGGAAGAGUUCCAUAGUCAUCCAAGAACGAUCCACAUGACUCCGCAUCACGUGUAUCCAU
rnacentral:lncRNA from 1 species